UCUAGCGGGACUCGGCAUGAGGCUGGCGCGGCUGCUUCGCGGAGCCGCUUUGGGCGGCCCGGGCCCGGGGCUGGGCGCCGCUGGCCCCAGCUGCAGCUUCAGCUCGGACUCGGGCUCCAGCCCGGCGUCCGAGCGCGGCGUUCCGGGCCAGGUGGACUUCUACGCGCGCUUCUCGCCGUCCCCGCUCUCCAUGAAGCAGUUCCUGGACUUCGGAUCAGUGAAUGCUUGUGAAAAGACCUCAUUUAUGUUUCUGCGGCAAGAGCUGCCUGUCAGACUGGCAAAUAUAAUGAAAGAAAUAAGUCUCCUUCCAGAUAAUCUUCUCAGGACACCAUCCGUUCAAUUGGUACAAAGCUGGUAUAUCCAGAGUCUUCAGGAGCUUCUUGAUUUUAAGGACAAAAGUGCUGAGGAUGCUAAAGCUAUUUAUGACUUUACAGAUACUGUGAUACGGAUCAGAAACCGACACAAUGAUGUCAUUCCCACAAUGGCCCAGGGUGUGAUUGAAUACAAGGAGAGCUUUGGGGUGGAUCCUGUCACCAGCCAGAAUGUUCAGUACUUUUUGGAUCGAUUCUACAUGAGUCGCAUUUCAAUUAGAAUGUUACUCAAUCAGCACUCUUUACUGUUUGGUGGAAAAGGCAAAGGAAGUCCAUCUCAUCGAAAACACAUUGGAAGCAUAAAUCCAAACUGCAAUGUAGUUGAAGUUAUUAAAGAUGGCUAUGAAAAUGCUAGGCGUCUGUGUGAUUUGUAUUAUAUUAACUCUCCCGAACUAGAACUUGAAGAACUAAAUGCAAAAUCACCAGGACAGCCAAUACAAGUGGUUUAUGUACCAUCCCAUCUCUAUCACAUGGUGUUUGAACUUUUCAAGAAUGCAAUGAGAGCCACUAUGGAACACCAUGCCAACAGAGGUGUUUAUCCCCCUAUUCAAGUUCAUGUCACGCUGGGUAAUGAGGAUUUGACUGUGAAGAUGAGUGACCGAGGAGGUGGUGUUCCUUUGAGGAAAAUUGACAGACUCUUCAACUACAUGUAUUCAACUGCACCGAGACCUCGUGUUGAGACCUCCCGCGCGGUGCCGCUGGCUGGUUUUGGUUAUGGAUUGCCCAUAUCACGUCUUUACGCACAAUACUUCCAAGGAGACCUGAAGCUGUAUUCCCUAGAGGGUUACGGGACAGAUGCAGUUAUCUACAUUAAGGCUCUGUCAACAGACUCAAUAGAAAGACUCCCAGUGUAUAACAAAGCUGCCUGGAAGCAUUACAACACCAACCACGAGGCUGAUGACUGGUGCGUCCCCAGCAGAGAACCCAAAGACAUGACGACGUUCCGCAGUGCCUAGACACACUUGGGACAUCCGGAAAAUCCAAAUGUGGCUUUUGUAUUAAAUUUGGAAGGCUAACCUCUCACACUCUUGAAGGUUAUAAGAGGGAUUGAUAGUCCAUGAUUCAGGUCUUGACAUAAAAGGCAUGAACGUCCCUCCCAAGUGACUGUGAGCUCAUUCCUUAGCCUGUGAAGCAACUCAGGGUAAGUAUAAAUUAUGGCAAGAAACUAUACUCCAUCUUUCACCUGGCAACAGGCUUAGUACAUCUGGCUUAUUUCUGAGCUGUUGUGUGCUGCCUGGAUAUUGUGAUCUCUCUUGUUUUGGACUGUAAUAACUCUGAGAGCUUUUCUUUCUCUUUGGGAACAGUUUGGUAGCAAUCAUUUAAACUAGGCACUGUAUUUAAUUUAUUGGGAACGCAAGUUGUGCCCACAGAGGAAAGGAGUGAAAAGAAGUUAAGCGAUGCUCUGAACCAGGGACAAAGUCCUUAUUAUUACAUAAUGCCACCCCAGUCCCAGUGAAGUUGAUCAUUCUGAUCACUAAUAGUGGACAUGCACAUUAUGGAGCUUAAUUUUAUUAUUUAAUUUUGAAUUUUGUUUUUGCAGUGGGGAUAGACUUGUACCAGUUAAUUGGUGUCCUCUUUUCUAAUUCCCUUGUGAGACUUGGCAUGCAGCUGAAAGGCAGUCGUUCCUAACCAUGAGAUAGAAAAUGAGUUAUCAGCACCUACAUGCAUUGAGUACCUCUCUCAGCUUCUGUCAUUCGUUGAUUCAACAGAUAUUCAUUGAGCACCCAUUAUGGGGCCAGACAUUAUUCUAAGUGCUGGGGAAACAACAGAAUGUAAAGUAGACAUGAUGUUCUAGUUGCAGAAGAUAGACAACACACAUAAUAAAUAAGUAAAUUAUACAUGUUCAGAGGUGAUUAGUAGUAUACAAAAGGAAAAUCAGGGUAAUGGGCAUGAGGAGUGUGAGUGGGCAAAGUGGGGAAUUGCAAUUUUAUUUAUUAUUAUUAUUUUUUUUUAUGGCGUCUCAGUCUGUUGCCCAGACUGGAGUGGAGUGGUACGAUCUCUGCUCACUGCAACCUCCACCUCCCAGGUUCAGGCGAUUCUCAUGCCUCAAACUCCUGAUACCUGGGACUACAGGCACCCGCCACCACACCCGGCUAAUUUUUGUAUUUUUAGUAGAGACAGGAUUUCACCAUGUUGGCCAGGCUGGUCUUGAACCACUGACCUCCAGUGAUCUGUCCACCUCGGCCUUCCAAAGUGCUGGGGAUCAAAGGCGUGAGCCACCAUGCCCAGCCAGGAAUUACAAUUUUAAAUGAGCAAGUUGAUGUAGGCCUUAUUGAAAGCUGACAUUUGAGCAAAGGCUUGAAAGUGAUAAGUCAAUUCUGCCAGUAUCUGGAAGAAGAGAUUCCAGUCAUAUAGAGACCCCAAGGUGGGACUGUGGCCAGCAUGUCUGAGGAACAACAAGGAGGCUGUGUGGCUCGAGUAGAGAGAGCAGGGGGAGAAUAGGAGAGGACAUCAGCAAAGUGAUGAAGGCUCAGAUGGUACUGGGACAUGGAAACCCCUCUCAGGGCUUUUUCUGAAGGUGAAAUGGAGAGCCCUGGAAGCCUGUGGGCAGAGGAGUGACCUGAUCUGAUAUGUGUUUCAAAGUCUGGCCACCGCAGUGAGAAUGAUCCGUAGGGAGUGUGGCGGAGAUGGCCAGCAGACUGCCAAAAUCCACCCUCCUUCCUCCACAGUGGAGAGUUGUCAGUGGAAGCAGCUGGCUAACCAGGGACCACAUUUCCUGUCCUCCUCUGCAUGCAGGUGUGGUCAUGUGACCAGAAGACAGUAGAGUGGCCAUUGGCUGAGAAAGGAAUGAAUGUGUGGUAGAGAGCUGCUUUGCAGACCUGAACCCAGCCCAGACUGUUACAUAAGAAAGGAAUAAACUUCUUGUUCUUGAAACUACUGAGAUUUGGAGGUACUUUUGUUGUGGAAAUCUAGCCUACCCUAACUAAGACAAAAGCCAAGAGUGAAAUUUAGAAGAUCAAUGGGGAGGCUGUUGCAAUAGUUUAGGUAAGAAAUGGUGGUGGCCUGGCAAAAGGCAUUAACAAUGGAGUUAGCACAAUAUAAAGAGGCUGGACCAUGAACAUAUUUUGAAGGUAGAGCCCGCAGACUUUCAUGACAAAAAAGGAAAGCUGUUUGACUUCAUGGUUUUUGUGCUGAUACCUUAUAAGGUUGAGGAAGUGAGGUGAUGGAACAGGCUUGAAAGGGUCUACUUGGAGUGAGGUUUGGGUUGUGUGCUUUUUAAAAAACUUACAAAGAGGCUAGGCAUGGUGGCUCACACCUGUAAUCCCAGCACUUUGGGAGGCCGAGGCGGGUGGAUCACGAGGUCAGGAGAUUGAGAUCAUCCUGGCUAACACAGUGAAACCCUGUCUGUACUAAAAAUACAAAAAAGUUAGCCGGACGUGGUGGUGGGUGCCUGUAGUCCCAGCCACUUGGGAGGCUGAGGCAGGAGAACGGCAUCAACCCAGGAGGCGGAGCUUGCAGUGAGCCGAGAUCGUGCCACUGCACUCCAGCCUGGGAGACAGAGCAAAACUCCGUCUAAAAAAAAAAAAAAACUUAUAAAGAAAUGAGUUUUAAUUGGCUAACAGUUCUGCAGGCUGUACAGGAAGCAUGGCACUGGCAUCUGCUCAGCUUCUGGGGAGGCCUCAGGAAGCUUCCAGUCGUGGCAGAAGGUGAAGGGGGAGCAGGCGUCUCACAUGAGCAGAACAGGAGCAAGAGUGGGAUGUGUUAAAUUUGAGAUGUUAAUUCAUCUCCAAGUGAAGAUGUUGAAUAGAUACAUGGAUAUAUACAUUUGAAGUUUAGGAAGAUGUCUUCCCAGGGAUGUUAAUUUGGAGUGAGUAAUGCAUGGAUUAUAUUUAAAAUCAUGGAAUUAGAUUGAGACUACUGUGGGGAUGAGUAAAGUUACAAAAUAGUCAAAGGAUUGAGGCCUAGAUGACUUCAUCUUUAAGAGGUUGGAAAAAUAGGGAGAAACCAGCAAAAGUGACUGAAUGGGAGCAACCAGUGAGAAAGAAUGAAAACCAAGAGAGUGGUGAGCUGGGAAACACGGACCUGUUAUACUUAGAUGUUCAGACCUCCAUGCUGCACACCAGGGCCUGCACCCCAGAGAAAGACUGGAAUGGUUCUUUGCCUUUUAGAAGCAGGAGAAAUACAUAUAAACUAGAGACAUUAUGAUGAGAACAACCCUGGAGGCAUAACAGAGGGCCAGGAAAGAGAUUUUAUAGCUGAGAAUACCCUGGCAGCAGCAGUGGUAAGUUGGGAAAUAUUUGGAUUCUAUUUUUUGAUAGGGAGGAGAGAGAUAUAUUUUUUGAGCAAUGGCGAUAAUCAUUUCUAUUUUAGAGAAGGAACUGGGCUGGGUGCAGUGGCUUAUGCCUGUAAUCCCAGCACUUUGGGAGGCCCAGACAGGUGGAUUGCUUGAGCUCAGGAGUUUGAGACCAACCUGAGCAACAUGGUGAAACCCUGUCUCUACAAAAAAUACAAAAAAUUAGCCAGGUGUGGUGGUGCAUGCCUAUGGUCCUAACUACUUGGGGGACUGAGGUGGGAAGAUUGCUUGAGCCUGGGAGGCGGAGAUUGCAGUGAGCUGAGAUCGUGCCAUUGCACUCCAGCCUGGGCAACAGAGCGAGACCCCAUCUCAAAGUAAAAUAAGAUAAAGAAUAGAGAAGGAACUAGUGACAGGAGGGGGACUAGAUUUUGGGGAGAACAUAAAAACUUUGUAGGUAUUUACAAGACCAGUAAACCAAGCUGGAGAUGAGUCAGUCCCCUUAAGUGGCCUUGGGAUCAGUGCCCCAGUGACUUUAAUCAAGCUGGGAUCAAGGGGCUGACUCUGAGUACAAACUUUCCCUCCAAACCUGGUCUUUACUUGUGUCUUCAAUCUCAGCAAGGACAUUAUUAUCUACUCAGUUGCUCAUGCCAGAAUCUGCUAGUUACUUUUAACACCUUCCUCCCCUUCACCCCAUGUCCAGUCAUUCACCAGUUGCUGAUGAUUUGGGCCUCCUAAAUAUUUCUCAAAUUUGUCUACUCCCCUCCACAGCUGAUAUGGUUUGGCUCCAUGUCCCUACCCAAAUCUCAUCUUGAAUUGUAAUCCCCACAUGUUGAGAGAGGGACCUGUAAUCCCACAUGUCAAGGGAGGGAGGUGAUGGGGCAGUUUCCUUCAUGCUGUUCUUGUGAUAGUGAAUGAGUUCUCUUGAGAUCUGAUGGUUUUAUAAGUGUUUGGAAGUUCCUGUCUUACUUCUGUCUCUCCUGCCACAUUGUAAAGAAGGUGCUUGCUUCCUCUUCACUUUCUGCCGUGAUUGUAAGUUUCCCAAGGCCUCCCCUGCCAUGUGGAACUGUGAGUCAUUUAAACCCCUUUCCUGCAUAAAUUACCCAGUCUUAGGUAUUUCUUUAUAGCAGUGUGAAAACGGACUAAUACAACUGCUUUGCUCACCUAAGCCACUCCAAUAGGUUUCUGACUGGCCUCUUCAAAACAGUCCCUGAAGCCCUGCUCUAGUCAUAGACCACAAUGGAGGCAGUGGGAGCUUUUAAAAUAGAAAUCUUGUCACCUCACUUCCAUAUUUUCCCUUUCUCCUGGAUUAAAAUCCUGAGGCUGACCUUCAAGGCUCUGCAUGUUCUGAUUUCUACAUACUUCACCAGCUGUGCACAAAGAAACAUCAUUUGCUGAAUGAAUGAAUAAACCAGUAGACUAAGACACAGCCUCACUUUGGAAAGCUGGAUUUCUCCCCUUUGGCCAAGAAUCCUACAUUGGAGCACUUGAAAAGGCAUCAGUGACACUUCAUAAUCAGCCUGCCCAUGCUUGAUGGCAACCAAUAUAGGCAUUCAGAAUUAUGUAACCUUUGGUGCAGUGGAGAGGGAUGCAUCCAGGGAUAAGUAUUCAGAUUUCCUGGCACUGGAAAUAUUCUGUGUCUUAACCUGUAUGAAGAGAACAUGAAAAUUGGUUUUAUUAUUAUUUAUGCCAUAUAUAAAUUAUGUAUUUUGGUAUCGAUGAGGAAAUAUACCAUAAAAAUAAAAAUUUUUUAAGGCUCAAAUACAAGGUAC